AUUGAACGCUGGCGGCAUGCCUAACACAUGCAAGUCGAACGAGUGGCGGACGGGUGAGUAAUAUCUGGGAAACUUCCUUAUGGAGGGGGAUAACUACUGGAAACGGUAGCUAAUACCGCAUACCAUCAGAUGUGCCCAGAUGGGAUUGGCUUGUUGGUGGGGUACCGGCUCACCAAGGCGACGAUCCCUAGCUGGUCUGAGAGGAUGACCGGCCACACUGGAACUGAGACACGGCCCAGACUCCUACGGGAGGCAGCAGUGGGGAAUAUUGCACAAUGGGCGAAAGCAUGAUGCAGCCAGGCCGCGUGUAUGAAGAAGGCGUUCGGGUUGUAAAGGACUUUCAGCGGGGAGGCGUUACCCGCAGAAGAAGCACCGGCUAACUACGUGCCAGCAGCCGCGGUAAUAC
rnacentral:rRNA from 1 species